rnacentral:RNase_P_RNA from 1 species
CGGGCUGGUCGGGCGACCGCGUUGCUCUCGUGAGGGAGCACCGAGGAAGGUCCGGGCUCCGAAGGGCAGGGUGGUGGCUAACAGCCACCCGGGGCAACCCGCGGGAAAGUGCCACAGAGAACAGACCGCCGGGCCCACACGGGCACGGUCAGGGUGAAACGGUGGGGUAAGAGCCCACCAGCGGCCGAGGUGACUCGGUCGGCUCGGCAAACCCCACCCGGAGCAAGGUCAAGAAGCCACCUCAGGGUGGCGCGCACGCGUUCGAGGGCGGCCCGCCCGAGCGUGCGGGUAGACCGCUGGAGGGUGUCGGCAACGGCACUCGUAGAUGGAUGGUCGCCCCCUGGUCACCAGGGACAGAACCCGGCCUACAGACCAGCCCGUCCG